AGUGGGGAAUAUUGGACAAUGGGCGAAAGCCUGAUCCAGCAACGCCGCGUGAGGGAUGACGGCCUUCGGGUUGUAAACCUCUUUCAGCAGGGACGAAGCGAAAGUGACUUUACCUGCAGAAGAAGCACCGGCCAACUACGUGCCAGCAGCCGCGGUGAUACGUAGGGUGCGAGCGUUGUCCGGAAUUAUUGGGCGUAAAGGGCUCGUAGGCGGUCCGUCACGUCGGGAGUGAAAACUCGGGGCUCAACCCCAAGCUUGCUCUCGAUACGGGCGGACUAGAGGUAGGUAGGGGAGAACGGAAUUCCUGGUGUAGCGGUGGAAUGCGCAGAUAUCAGGAGGAACACCGGUGGCGAAGGCGGUUCUCUGGGCCUUACCUGACGCUGAGGAGCGAAAGCGUGGGGAGCGAA
rnacentral:rRNA from 1 species